GUGUAAGCCGCCUCGGUAAUACCGGCAGCACGCUUGAUGGCCGAUCUUAUUGGGCCUAAAGCGUCCGUAGCUGGCUGAACAAGUCCGUUGGGAAAUCUGUCCGCUUAACGGGCAGGCGUCCAGCGGAAACUGUUCAGCUUGGGACCGGAAGACCUGAGGGGUACGUCUGGGGUAGGAGUGAAAUCCUGUAAUCCUGGACGGACCGCCGGUGGCGAAAGCGCCUCAGGAGAACGGAUCCGACAGUGAGGGACGAAAGCUAGGGUCUCGAACCGGAUUAGAAAACCGCGUAGUCC
rnacentral:rRNA from 1 species